rnacentral:rRNA from 1 species
CAUCUGUGGAUCAGUGGCGAACGGGUGAGUAACACGUGAGCAACCUGCCCCUGACUCUGGGAUAAGCGCUGGAAACGGCGUCUAAUACCGGAUAUGAGCUGCGAUCGCAUGGUCAGCAGUUGGAAAGAUUUUUCGGUCUGGGAUGGGCUCACGGCCUAUCAGCUUGUUGGUGAGGUAAUGGCUCACCAAGGCGUCGACGGGUAGCCGGCCUGAGAGGGUGACCGGCCACACUGGGACUGAGACACGGCCCAGACUCCUACGGGAGGCAGCAGUGGGGAAUAUUGCACAAUGGGCGAAAGCCUGAUGCAGCAACGCCGCGUGAGGGAUGACGGCCUUCGGGUUGUAAACCUCUUUUAGCAGGGAAGAAGCGAAAGUGACGGUACCUGCAGAAAAAGCGCCGGCUAACUACGUGCCAGCAGCCGCGGUAAUACGUAGGGCGCAAGCGUUAUCCGGAAUUAUUGGGCGUAAAGAGCUCGUAGGCGGUUUGUCGCGUCUGCUGUGAAAUCCCGAGGCUCAACCUCGGGUCUGCAGUGGGUACGGGCAGACUAGAGUGCGGUAGGGGAGAUUGGAAUUCCUGGUGUAGCGGUGGAAUGCGCAGAUAUCAGGAGGAACACCGAUGGCGAAGGCAGAUCUCUGGGCCGUUACUGACGCUGAGGAGCGAAAGGGUGGGGAGCAAACAGGCUUAGAUACCCUGGUAGUCCACCCCGUAAACGUUGGGAACUAGUUGUGGGGUCCAUUCCACGGAUUCCGUGACGCAGCUAACGCAUUAAGUUCCCCGCCUGGGGAGUACGGCCGCAAGGCUAAA